AUGGAGGACACUGGGGAGGCAGGGGGCAUCGAUGCACUCGAUGACCUGGGCUGGUGCACACUGGGGCUAAGGGGAAAGGGGGGAGAUGCUGAGGAGGGGGCUCCCGGGGGCUAUUCCAAGGCAGGAGGUUCCGGGGCCCUGGGGCUGAGGGGCAGGGAGGGGGCCAAGGUGAGGCAGGUGGCACCAGCCAGGUGCACACCCAAUGCCCGUGAGCCCAGACACUGGACCCUCGCUGAGAGACAAGAACGGAGGGGCCUCUGCGCCCUGGGCCCAGCUCUGUCCUACACCACAGUCACAUGGCGCCACGUCUCUUGCAGCCUCCACCAAGGGCCCAUCGGUCUUCCCCCUGGCGUCCUGCUCCAGGAGCACCUCCCAGAGCACAGCGGCCCUGGGCUGCCUGGUCAAGGACUACUUCCCCGAACCCGUGACCGUGUCGUGGAACUCAGGCGCCCUGACCAGCGGCGUGCACACCUUCCAGGCUGUCCUACAGUCCUCAGGGCUCUACUCCCUCAGCAGCGUGGUGACCGUGCCCUCCAGCAGCUUGGGCACCCAGACCUACGUCUGCAACGUCGUUCAUGAGCCCAGCAACACCAAGGUGGACAAGACAGUUGGGCUCCCAUGUCGUUCCACGUGCCCACCGUGCCCAGCUGAACUCCUGGGGGGACCAUCAGUCUUCCUCUUCCCCCCAAAACCCAAGGACACCCUCAUGAUUUCCCGGACCCCUGAGGUCACGUGCGUGGUGGUAGACGUGAGCCAGGAAGAACCCGAUGUCAAGUUCAACUGGUACGUGGACGGCGUGGAGGUGCACAAUGCCCAGACGAAGCCACGGGAGGAGCAGUUCAACAGCACGUACCGUGUGGUCAGCGUCCUCACCGUCACACACCAGGACUGGCUGAACGGCAAGGAGUACACGUGCAAGGUCUCCAACAAAGCCCUCCCGGCCCCAAAGCAGAAAACUGUCUCCAAAACCAAAGGGCAGCCCCGAGAGCCACAGGUGUACACCCUGCCCCCGCCCCGGGAGGAGCUGACCAAGAACCAGGUCAGCCUGACCUGCCUGGUCAAAGGCUUCUACCCCAGCGACAUCGUCGUGGAGUGGGCGAGCAACGGGCAGCCGGAGAACACCUACAAGACCACGCCGCCUGUGCUGGACUCCGACGGCUCCUACUUCCUCUACAGCAAGCUCACCGUGGACAAGAGCAGGUGGCAGCAGGGGAACACCUUCUCAUGCUCCGUGAUGCAUGAGGCUCUGCACAACCACUACACCCAGAAGAGCCUCUCCGUGUCUCCGGAGCUGCAACUGGAGGAGAGCUGUGUGGAGGCGCAGGACGGGGAGCUGGACGGGCUGUGGACGACCAUCACCAUCUUCAUCACACUCUUCCUGCUAAGCGUGUGCUACAGUGCCACCGUCACCUUCUUCAAGGUGAAGUGGAUCUUCUCCUCGGUGGUGGACCUGAAGCAGACCAUCAUCCCCGACUACAGGAACAUGAUCGGGCAGGGGCCCUAG